GCACAGUUCCGUUUCGACCGCGGUAGUGUUUACACGCGUUGGUAUUACGCACGUCGAUUUUCAAUAUAAUUUCAAAUCGUGCAUAAUUUUCGUUUUUAAAAUACACACGUUUUAUUUAUGAGUGUCUAAAAUAUGUAUAUUCGCGAGUGUUUAAAGUGCAUGUGCUUUAUUUGCGAAUAUUUAUAGUAUAUACGUGAUUAUUUACGAUUGUAACGAUACUGCGCAUUUUAUUCGCGGUGAGAAGGUACAUUUCGUUGUCGUGGACAGAAGGAAGUAUUCAAUUACUGGUGUGACAGUGUCAUCUAUAAAUGUUGAGGACAUUUCUUCACAAACUUUUGUGAUUUCUUCAAAAGCAGAAUGUCACCUUACAAGACCUUCGUAAGAUGUUCGUCGUCAUCGUAGAAUAUUACCUGUUUUUGCUUCGUAACAACAUUUUUGUUUUCAUCUAACGAUGUUGCCGUCCCUGGCGAAGCACGUCAACUCGGCGGCGAGAGGCACACGGCAGUGGCAGCAACGAAGACAGCCGCAGUGCCACGCGCGGUCCGCAGCCCUUAGAUACCAUCGCUCGGCUAUCUCCCUUCCGCAACCCCCGCAACCGAGGACCCCGUCGGUGUUGUUGUUCUCGCCGCCUCCGAGCUGCCGGUUGCUGACGGCGCCAUCCCCUGGCGGGGGUGUGCUGCUCCCGCACCCGACUUCCUUCAGCAUCUCGAAACGGACCGCCGCGGCCACCGGCCCAUUCUGCCGCACAGAAAUCCCGCCUUCCUCAGAUCUUCACCAAAAUUUCAUUCAGAGAGAGAGAGAGAGAGAGAGAGAGGGGAGUACAACAGAAGGAACAAAGAGGAGGAGGAGAAAGAGAAGAAGGAGGAGGAUCUGUACGGGACUCGUUGACAUCCUGGAAGGAUUUGCCAGUCACUCUCGGUCGCAGCCGGGAUCUGGACGAUGACUACGACGAUUCGAGCGAGGGAGAAUGGUUCGUGAGAGAGAAAUUCUGCGUACGGAAGCUCGAUCGUCGCUGAUUUUUGGCCGCUUAGGGGAAGGUUCUUAUCGAAGGUCGAGCCUUCUCGUCCUCGCCUCUUCGCCUGGACGAAGAGGAAGGAAUUCGAUCAUUUCUCCGUUUUUCGUGACGACAAGUUCCGUGGAAUAUUGUUCCCUGCUUCUCCUAAAGGACGAAGAACGACCUCUUUGAGAUGCGUAGGAACGGAAGACGCGAAGGGGAAACGGGAAGCGCGCCACACCAGCUUUUGAUAUUCCUUUAGACCGAUCUUCACGCCCGCGCCUUGAAGUUUGAAUUAUUGGCCGCGAAGAGCGGCACCCCUUGUCGAAUGGUAUUCGAGCGUGAUGCGGGGCGUCGAAAGUGCGGCAAAGAGAGCUUUCGGUGACUCGGUAGAAGUAACACGGAGAUCAUGGAUGGUUUCGCAUCCUCAGAAGAGAGGCUCGACGACGACAGUCUUCGAAAUUGUUCAAGCCAAUAACGUUUAUAAGUUGUGCAACGCGAUAGUUAUUCUUGAAGUUUCGAAUAAUUAAAUAAUGGAUAAAGAAGAAAAGAAUGAAAAAGAAAGAUUGUAACAUUAGAUUAAGAAUUAGAAUUUUAAGCGUGUGUAUAAGUUUAAGUAAUAUAUACCGAUACGAAUAUUUAUAACAAAAAAUAUACAAAUAUAUAUUUAAACUUAUACAAAUACACAUAUAUAUGUAUAAAAUUAAAACAUAAAAUAUAAAUAAUGUAUAUAUAUAUAUAUAUAUUUUUUAUGUUUUAAUUUAUUUUUCUACAUGUAACUUAUGAAUACUUUAUAUUUCUAUGUAUCUUAUGUAUGUAUAUUUUAUAAAUUGUACAGUAUUUCCAAAAAUAAAAUUUUUAAAACAUAA